rnacentral:rRNA from 1 species
CCUACGGGGUGCAGCAGUGGGGAAUAUUGGACAAUGGGGGGAACCCUGAUCCAGCCAUGCCGCGUGUGUGAAGAAGGCCCUCGGGUUGUAAAGCACUUUCAGUGAGGAAGAACGCCUGGUGGUUAAUACCCAUCAGGAAAGACAUCACUCACAGAAGAAGCACCGGCUAACUCCGUGCCAGCAGCCGCGGUAAUACGGAGGGUGCGAGCGUUAAUCGGAAUUACUGGGCGUAAAGCGCGCGUAGGUGGCUUGAUAAGCCGGUUGUGAAAGCCCCGGGCUCAACCUGGGAACGGCAUCCGGAACUGUCAAGCUAGAGUGAAGGAGAGGAAGGUAGAAUUCCCGGUGUAGCGGUGAAAUGCGUAGAGAUCGGGAGGAAUACCAGUGGCGAAGGCGGCCUUCUGGACUGACACUGACACUGAGGUGCGAAAGCGUGGGUAGCAAACAGGAUUAGAUACCCUAGUAGUC